GACGAACGCUGGCGGCGUGCUUAACACAUGCAAGUCGAACGAUGAAGCCUAGCUUGCUAGGUGGAUUAGUGGCGAACGGGUGAGUAAUACGUGAGUAACCUACCUUUAACUCUGGGAUAAGCCUGGGAAACUGGGUCCAGUACCGGAUACGACCAAUCUCCGCAUGGGGUGUUGGUGGAAAGCGUUAUGUAUUGGUUAUAGAUGGGCUCACGGCCUAUCAGCUUGUUGGUGAGGUAACGGCUCACCAAGGCGACGACGGGUAGCCGGCCUGAGAGGGUGACCGGCCACACUGGGACUGAGACACGGCCCAAACUCCUACGGGAGGCAGCAGUGGGGAAUAUUGCACAAUGGGCGCAAGCCUGAUGCAUCGACUCCGCGUGAGGGAUGACGGCCUUCAGGUUGUAAACCUCUGUUAGCAGGGAAGAAGAGAGAUUGACGGUACCUGCAUAGAAAGCGCCGGCUAACUACUUGCCAGACAGCCGCGGUAAUACGUAGGGCGCGAGCGUUGUCCGGAAUUAUUGGGCGUAAAGAGCUUGUACGCGGUUUGUCGCGUCUGCUGUGAAAGGCCGGAGCUUAACUCCGUGUAUUGCAGUGGGUACGGGCAGACUAGAGUGCAGUAGGGGAGACUGGAAUUCCUGGUGUAGCGGUGGAAUGCGCAGAUAUCAGGAGGAACACCGAUGGCGAAGGCAGGUCUCUGGGCUGUAACUGACGCUGAGAAGCGAAAGCAUGGGGAGCGAACAGGAUUAGAUACCCUGGUAGUCCAUGCCGUAAACGUUGGGCACUAGGUGUGGGGAACAUUCCACGUUUUCCGCGCCGUAGCUAACGCAUUAAGUGCCCCGCCUGGGGAGUACGGCCGCAAGGCUAAAACUCAAAGAAAUUGACGGGGGCCCGCACAAGCGGCGGAGCAUGCGGAUUAAUUCGAUGCAACGCGAAGAACCUUACCAAGGCUUGACAUAUACUGGACCGCAUCAGAGAUGGUGUUUCCCUUCGGGGCUGGUAUACAGGUGGUGCAUGGUUGUCGUCAGCUCGUGUCGUGAGAUGUUGGGUUAAGUCCCGCAACGAGCGCAACCCUCGUUCUAUGUUGCCAGCACGUUAUGGUGGGGACUCAUAGGAGACUGCCGGGGUCAACUCGGAGGAAGGUGGGGAUGACGUCAAAUCAUCAUGCCCCUUAUGUCUUGGGCUUCACGCAUGCUACAAUGGCCGGUACAGAGGGUUGCGAUACUGUGAGGUGGAGCUAAUCCCUAAAAGCCGGUCUCAGUUCGGAUUGGGGUCUGCAACUCGACCCCAUGAAGUCGGAGUCGUUAGUAAUCGCAGAUCAGCAACGCUGCGGUGAAUACGUUCCCGGGCCU
rnacentral:rRNA from 1 species